rnacentral:sRNA from 1 species
GAAAUUCGGAGCGACGCACUCCUCCUCCCAGCGCCGUUCCGACCUGAUUGGCAACACUCCUCCUCCCGGUUGCCAAUCGCCUUAAAUGACGCCCGCUGGAUCUCCUCCCCCAGCGGGCGUUAUUC